rnacentral:rRNA from 1 species
GAUGAACGCUGACAGAAUGCUUAACACAUGCAAGUCUUUGGCGAAGCUGUGCUUGCACAGCCUAGCCAAGGCGGACGGGUGAGUAACGCGUCAGGAACUUGCCCUGCAGUCAGGGAUAACAGACGGAAACGACUGAUAAGACCUGGUAAAGUCAGGCGGACUCAUGUCCAGCCUGAUGAAAAGUGAUGCUGCAGGAGAGCCUUGCGUCCUAUUAGCUUGUUGGUGGGGUAACGGCCCACCAAGGCGAUGAUAGGUAGCCGGCCUGAGAGGGUGGACGGCCACAAGGGGACUGAGAUACGGCCCUUACUCCUACGGGAGGCAGCAGUGGGGAAUAUUGGACAAUGGGGGCAACCCUGAUCCAGCAAUUCUGUGUGCACGAUGAAGGUUUUCGGAUUGUAAAGUGCUUUCAGCAGGGAAGAAAAAAAUGACGGUACCUGCAGAAGAAGCGACGGCUAAAUACGUG